rnacentral:rRNA from 1 species
GAGUGAUCGAAAGAUGAAAAGCACUUUGAAAAGAGAGUUAAACAGCACGUGAAAUUGUUGAAAGGGAAGCGUUGGCCACCAGACGCGCCCGGGAGGGCUCAACCGGCACCUGUGCCGGCGUACUCCCCCCCGGGCGGGUCAGCAUCGGUUUGGACGGUCGCAGAAAGGCCCCGGGAAUGUAGCACCCUCCGGGGUGCCUUAUAGCCUGGAGUGUCAUGCGGCCCGCCUGGACCGAGGCCCGCGCUUCGGCGAGGAUGCUGGCGUAAUGGUGGUCAACGGC